rnacentral:rRNA from 1 species
UACGUAGGGUCCGAGCGUUGUCCGGAAUUAUUGGGCGUAAAGGGCUCGUAGGCGGUCUGUUGCGUCGGGAGUGAAAACUUACAGCUUAACUGUGAGCGUGCUUUCGAUACGGGCAGACUUGAGGCAUUCAGGGGAGAACGGAAUUCCUGGUGUAGCGGUGAAAUGCGUAGAUAUUGGGAGGAACACCAGUGGCGAAGGCGGCUACCUGGACCGGUUCUGACGCUGAUGCGCGAAAGCGUGGGUAGCAAACAGG